UAACGCGUAGGCAACCUGCCCUUUAGACGGGGACAACAUUCCGAAAGGAGUGCUAAUACCGGAUGUGAUCAUCGUGCCGCAUGGCAGGAUGAAGAAAGAUGGCCUCUACAAGUAAGCUAUCGCUAAAGGAUGGGCCUGCGUCUGAUUAGCUAGUUGGUAGUGUAACGGACUACCAAGGCGAUGAUCAGUAGCCGGUCUGAGAGGAUGAACGGCCACAUUGGGACUGAGACACGGCCCAAACUCCUACGGGAGGCAGCAGUGGGGAAUCUUCCGCAAUGGACGAAAGUCUGACGGAGCAACGCCGCGUGAGUGAUGAAGGAUUUCGGUCUGUAAAGCUCUGUUGUUUAUGACGAACGUGCAGUGUGUGAACAAUGCAUUGCAAUGACGGUAGUAAACGAGGAAGCCACGGCUAACUACGUGCCAGCAGCCGCGGUAAUACGUAGGUGGCGAGCGUUGUCCGGAAUUAUUGGGCGUAAAGAGCAUGUAGGCGGCUUAAUAAGUCGAGCGUGAAAAUGCGGGGCUCAACCCCGUAUGGCGCUGGAAACUGUUAGGCUUGAGUGCAGGAGAGGAAAGGGGAAUUCCCAGUGUAGCGGUGAAAUGCGUAGAUAUUGGGAGGAACACCAGUGGCGAAGGCGCCUUUUCUGGACUGUGUCUGACGCUGAGAUGCGAAAGCCAGGGUAGCGAACGGGAUUAGAUACCCCGGUAGUCC
rnacentral:rRNA from 1 species